rnacentral:rRNA from 1 species
AGUGAACGCUGGCGGUAGGCCUAACACAUGCAAGUCGAACGGCAGCACAGUAAGAGCUUGCUCUUACGGGUGGCGAGUGGCGGACGGGUGAGGAAUACAUCGGAAUCUACUUUUUCGUGGGGGAUAACGUAGGGAAACUUACGCUAAUACCGCAUACGACCUACGGGUGAAAGCAGGGGAUCUUCGGACCUUGCGCGAUUGAAUGAGCCGAUGUCGGAUUAGCUAGUUGGCGGGGUAAAGGCCCACCAAGGCGACGAUCCGUAGCUGGUCUGAGAGGAUGAUCAGCCACACUGGAACUGAGACACGGUCCAGACUCCUACGGGAGGCAGCAGUAGGGAAUAUUGGACAAUGGGCGCAAGCCUGAUCCAGCCAUACCGCGUGAGUGAAGAAGGCCUUCGGGUUGUAAAGCCCUUUUGUUGGGAAAGAAAAGCAGCGGGUUAAUACCCCGCUGUUCUGACGGUACCCAAAGAGUAAGCACCGGCUAACUUCGUG